CGCGGCCUAUCAGCUUGUUGGUGAGGUAACGGCUCACCAAGGCAAUGACGGGUAGCUGGUCUGAGAGGACGAUCAGCCACACUGGAACUGAGAUACGGUCCAGACUCCUACGGGAGGCAGCAGGAGGGAAUCUUGCGCAAUGGGCGAAAGCCUGACGCAGCGACGCCGCGUGGGGGAUGAAUGCCUUAGGGUUGUAAACCCCUUUCACGAGGGAAGAAACUGACGGUACCUCGAGAAGAAGCCCCGGCUAACUACGUGCCAGCAGCCGCGGUAAUACGUAGGGGGCGAGCGUUGUCCGGAUUUAUUGGGCGUAAAGGGCUCGUAGGCGGCUUGGCAAGUCGGCCGUGAAAACCCAGGGCUCAACUCUGGGACGCCGGUCGAUACUGCCAUGGCUAGGGUCCGGUAGAGGGGAAUGGAAUUCCCGGUGUAGCGGUGAAAUGCGCAGAUAUCGGGAGGAACACCAGUAGCGAAGGCGGUUCCCUGGGCCGGCACCGGCGCUGAGGAGCGAAAGCGUGGGUAGCGAACAGGAUUAGAUACCCUGGUAGUCUACGCCGUAAACGUUGGGCACUAGGUGUGGGGCCUACUUAACGGGUUCCGUGCCGUAGCUAACGCAUUAAGUGCCCCGCCUGGGGAGUACGG
rnacentral:rRNA from 1 species